GACGGGGGGGGGCAAGUGUUCUUCGGAAUGACUGGGCGUAAAGGGCACGUAGGCGGUGAAUCGGGUUGAAAGUGAAAGUCGCCAAAAAGUGGCGGAAUGCUCUCGAAACCAAUUCACUUGAGUGAGACAGAGGAGAGUGGAAUUUCGUGUGUAGGGGUGAAAUCCGUAAAUAUACGAAGGAACGCCAAAAGCGAAGGCAGCUCUCUGGGUCCCUACCGACGCUGGGGUGCGAAAGCAUGGGGGAGCGAACAGGG
rnacentral:rRNA from 1 species